rnacentral:siRNA from 1 species
UCACAUUCAGUGUUUUGAUUG